rnacentral:lncRNA from 1 species
CUGGCUUUUCCCGCCAGAAGGUGGUCAAGCGCGCGCGCCGUUUCUCGUGCGCUGCUGAAGUGGCGGCGGGCGGGGGCGCCGGGGAGGGCCGUGCGAUGGCGAGCGGCCUUGAGGCUCCCUGAGCCGAGGCGAGCGGACUUUUUUCCCUUAAGCUGCGUGUGUGACGAGAACAAUAAAGCAGGUAGUUCUGUUGUUGACGUGAAACGGUCGUUGUGCCAAUAAACUGUCGUUCUGUGGCUGAAUUCGUUACCUCAGGCACCAUGGAGGGCUGCGUUGCGUCCUGCUGUGGUGAGGGGCUUUCAGAUCCACAGACACAGAAAAGAGCCGCUGCUUCUCCCUGCUCGCCACAGGCUCCGUGUGUCAGCGUGUUAACAGGCUGCGUUUGUAUGCGAGUUGUAAAAGAACAAGAACGUGAGCCAGGAGAGCGUUAGAGACCAGAGUUAUGUGAAAGUGCGUGACACAAAACAUCUGUGGCAAAGCAGGAGAAAUUCCUCUUGCAGACAUGUCAAAAAGCAGUGAAACCAGUGAAGGCUGUAGAGUGUUGAAGGGUGGGAACACCUGCUGCACGGAUUUCCCUUCAGAGCUUUUAGCAUCGCAAAUGAGCAGUUUGAACAAGAUCCAAAUAGCGACAGCAUCAAGAUUCUCCUGAAGUCCUCUGCAGAAGAUGGCUGCAUGGAAGGGGAUCAUUGCCACGACCCAGCCAUAACCUGGCAAUAAGAUAAAGCUCACAACCUGGCCACAGGCAUCAAGUUUGGGCAACUUCGCCUGCAGAACUGUGCUGAGGGUUUUCCCACAUCCUUGGUGUCCCGAGGCAGAGCAGUGUUGGACUGACAGGAUUGGCACAGUUGCUGGAAAUGUGAAGUCCUGAUGACUCUGAAGAAUUUAAUAAUUUUUUGAUGCCUUCAAAUUAAAAUGGCAUUGCUUUAUAUUCCAUGUACGAAUUAAUGUGCUUUUAGUACUUGGCAUUUUCUACAUGUGAUAUAUCUGCAGUCUGGAGCUCAGUGCCCCUUCCUAUACUAACAAUCCUAUACUGAGCCUGAACUUUGAUGAGGAGUUCAAACAGGAAGAGCUCAUCUUCAAGUGUGCAGAGAAUAGACAGUGAAUGCCGCUCAGACCUUCACUUUAAAGCAGCCAGAUGAUGGAGGCACUUGUCAGAAGGAUGAGGAGGACAAAGACGGGGAUCGUGGCAGAAAAGGGGAACUUCCAUUCCCCUGGUGAAACAGAAAAACACAAAAGCAAAUUUCCUGAAGUUUCUCUAGGCCGGGCUCCAGUCACUCCCUGCAUAGAUAUUUGCAGCUAUUUCAUUUCAGCUGAGCACCAUUCCUCUGUUUCAUCUAAGCAGUACUGCUUCUACUGACCUUGUCUUCAGAUCCGGCUUCCCAAAGGUUGAAGUCAUACAUCCAAGGUAAACUCUCCACACAGAUGGCCAUAGGAAAAGUGGCAUUCACAUGGAUUACGUUCUCCUUUACAUUCACGUUUAGCAGUGGGGGAGCCAGUUCCACUAUAAUUGAGUGACCAGACAUAAGAACAGUGCUUGCUGACAUCGUAGUUUCACAGAAGUAAUGUUUUAUUUGUCUGAUCUAAACUUCUAGCUGAUAUCUUGUGGGGGACAUGAAGGAAGGAGGAGGGCAAAGCAACAUCUCUUUUUUUAAUGUAACAUACCCCCAGUGAUACUGUCUUUCUGUUGUGAUGAGCUUGAAACCAGUUCAUUCACCUAGAGCACUGAUGAAACAAAUUCUGAUACCGGCUACAAAACUUAAUUUCAAAUCAUCAUGGCUCAUUGUUGCUUGUGCCCACUCAAUUCUGGCAUUCAUAAAGCUUCAUGUUUCUCUUUCUGCCAUGUGUGGUUUAACUAAUUUGCUCAUGCAAACACUGUUGCUGGGAUGUCCUUCCAGCCAGGCUGUACCUAAGAGACACUCACCAUCUAAGUGGUAUUCCUUGAACUGUGAUUUUACCCAUGGUGAAUGGAAUCGUCCAGAAGUCGCUUUCACUUGAGCCCGGAAUUUAAUGAAGAAGUUUGGAAUCACACACGUCAGGUUGCAAGAGACACUGUGAAUAUUUCUGCAAUGGGGAACCUUUAUCCAUUUGUCCAUACGUGUUUUGCUAAAACAAGAAACAAAUAUGCCAUAUCAAACAUCUGUUGUUAUAAUUUAUACAGCAAGUGAAGGAAGUGCUUUUCUGGAUUGAUGCUGAAUCUUGCUGAAAGUUUAGAGCACUUUCCAGACAGAAAAGGAUUGACUUUGGUGAAAGAAUGCAGUCAAACCACGAUCAUAAUGACUGAUUAAGCACACCCACAGAUGUUUGCCCUGUGCAGUACGUCCUAUUAGACUCCCUUUGUAAGCACUCACCUUUCAUACCUCACAGUGUACAACACAUCUGGUGGAGAUCCUUCUCCUGGAGUCCAUGUCAAAAUCAUAUCAAAAUCCUUUGACAGUAAUGUAACAUUCUGAGGAGGAGGAAGUUGACCAUGAACUGAUCAGAAAGGAAAAUUAAGUGAAUUAUUAAACAUUGCUUUGGAAAUAGGAAAUAUCACCUAUUGUUGACAAAGGUGGUUUCAAAAUUUGGGGCACAGCAGCUCAAUUCACUUACGACUACAAACUGUAAGCUAUCUGGGGAAACAGGCAUGUUUGUGAUGUUGUUGAGUUUUCCUCACCUCACCACAGAACAUCUCAACAGCUGUAAGAAUUAGGACAGAAAUGUGUGUGAGCCAUCCAAUUCUGUAAUUGGAGCAGCAUCCCCCAUAGCCUCACUGGAUUCUCCUGUGAUCUGUUUCACAACCCCACAAACUCCAGCCUGACCCCCUUGCUCUCUCACCUCCUGGACCUCAGAUCAGGCACACACUACUGGGUCACUCCAUCCACCCUCUUCCAACUCAUAAAGGCAGACAUGUCACAAGUACAGCAGGAUGCAGCAUGCAGGCUCGCUGCUUGUACUUUCUGGCAGCAGUUGUUUCCGGUAAAUGAACAUGUACCAGUAAAUAAACAUGUGUCUUCAACAAGACACAUUCUUGUCAGAUAGCUGGUACUGCAAUCCAGAGAGGUUGUGGGUGCCCCAUUCCUCAAGGUGCCCAAGACCAUGGAUAGGCCCCUGGGCAGCCUGAGCUGGUGGGGGGCAACUAGCCCACAGCAGGGGGUUGGAGCAGGAUGGUCUUUAGGGUCCCCUCCAACCUCAGCCAUACCACGAUUCUUUGAUUUUAAAUCGCCAUUCCUUUACAGUGAAAUGUUUUACUUGAUGAAAAUCAUUCCCAUCCUCACUGCUUUCAACAUGUUGUCCGUGUCUUCCCUCCCACAAGCAAAGCCACAUAGCCCAGCAAAGCGAAAGUGACAAAGCCAUGACGUACCUCUGGGCUGCCACAGGAAGCACAGAGUUGCCAGCACUCUGAUUCUCCAUGCAGACAUGCUGAAGCAGAACUUUUCCACAUGUAAUUUAUUUCUUUCCUUGCUACCUUUUCAUUGUAUUGUUUUCCUGUACCAAGUUGUAUGGAUGGUGGAGGAAUAUGUGGUUAAUUACUGACACGCAUGUGUACAGCUUCACUUCCUUGUGCAGCCCAAACGUGGCACGACUCAUCAAACUGAAGAGGGAGCAGCGGUGAGACUGCUUGGGAUGAAAGCAGAAACGCUGCAAAGAUUGUGGCACAACGCCCUCCACUGUAACAGAGCUGAUCUCUGGUACGGGCUGCAUGAGAACAGAACAUGGCAUGAGCCCUCUCCUCUGAGGCACCUCAUAAAAAGUGACCUUUGGAAUUCACCUGCGUGGUUGUCAAAUAUUUAUAGAAAUCAAAUAACAUUUUACUGCAUGAGAUACCUGAUAAUAACCUAGCAGGUAUAGAAACUUGUUAGCAGCAGUAUGUAAAGUUAUGUCAGCCUCGUGCUUAUGAAGAGCCAGUGUAUGUUACCAGGCCAAGAGUACGUUUUACAAGGUACAGAAUGACCCC